UGAGUCUUGUGGCGCGGUGGGGCGCGGACCCGGAACCGCCAAGUGGUGAAGGCGCCUCCAGGCGGUGCCCGCUGGUCUCUAGAGUGUCAGUGGCGCUGUCUUCCUGCGUUACCGGAGCGCACAAAAUACUCGGUCCCCAGGCCGAGAACGCACCUCUACCUGGGUCCUGGGUCCCAUUUCACAGACUGAGAUGCGUGAAGCGCCUCCUUUAGAAGAGCUGACAAUUCUUAGCAAACCAAGUUUUGCGUGAUUUUGGGGAGGCGGCGCUGCCCCAGGAACGCCUGGAGGGCCUGCACCACCAAACUGGACAGCCAUGGGUGUGUAACCUCUUUUUGGGCCUGAGAAACAGACCUUUCUCUCCACUCAGAGCUCCGGCUUCAGCUAUUGUGCUUCCGAAUGCCACUACCAUCGGAUAUGCCAUCUACAGAACUUAACACCUGAGCACCCACCCUUCAGGGCCACCCAUGGGCCCAAAACGGGAUAAAGGAGCCAUUCCCUGACAUAGGAGGAAAACAUUUGCUGAGAAGCUACUGUGUGCCAGACACAAUCUUGGACUUUCACUUAAUCCUCAAAACAGCCCUAGGAAGAAGUACCUACCGUUAACAGAUAAGAAAGCUGAGACCCACGGUUUACACAGCUAAGGAGAGCAAAGGUUUUAACCCAGGACUGUCCUGACUCCACAACAUCAAAGUUGUUGUUUUGUUUUUGGUGUUUUGUAGAAACAGGAUCUCCCUAUUAUUACCCAGGCUGGUCUCAAACUCCUGGGCUGCAGCAGUCCUCCCACCUCGGCCUCCCAGAGUGCUGGGAUUACAGGCAAGAGCCACCACACCUGGCUGAUGAAUAGGAAUUGGGUAAACAUUUUUGAAAAUUAAAUACCAAAUUACCAUUACACAAUGCCAAACAGACCUCCUUUGUCCCCUUCCCAGGAUUUUUCCAGAAGAUGGACUCACAUUAUGAUGGCCCCCUUUUUCCGCAGAGUGUUCCCAAUGAAAAUUUCUGAAAUGAUGGGAAUGUUCUAAAUAUGUGCUGUCCGAAAUAGUAACCAUUAGCCACAUAUGGCUAUUGAGCACUUUAAAUGUGGCUAGCAUAACUGAAAGGCCACAUUUUUAUUUAAAUUUAAAUUUAAAUAGCAAACCGUGGCUAAUCAUAAUAAUAGCUUAAGAGAGAAAUGGUGAGCAGGGUUACUGGGAGAGGUAUUUUCCUAUAAGCUCUGGAUAUACAGUUGACCUGGGAACAACAAGGGUUUGAGCUGCAUGGGUCCACCAAUACAACCCUUGUUUUGUUUUGUUUUGUUUUCAAUAAAUACAGUCAGCCCUCUCUAUCAGAGGGUUCCACAUCCACAAUGAAACAUGGUUGGAAAAUACAGUAUGGGAUGUGAAACCUGUGUAUAGGGUGGGCUGACUUUUCGUUUCCAUAGGUUCUGCAGGGUCAACUAUAGUACAUGAGUAUACUCACAUUUUAGUAUCCUAAUAGAUCCUCAAACCAACACCUGGCAGAAAAUGGGGAACAAUUGCAUAACAGUAUUCAAGGGACUGGGUAUGAUGGCUUGCACCUGUAAUCCCAGCACUUUUGGAGGCCAAGGCAGAACAGGAGUUCGAGACCAGCCUGGGCAAUAUGGUGAAACCCCUUUUCUACAAAAAACUUAGCCAAGCAUGGCAUAUUUGUGUAAUGCCAUUUGCAUGACCCACAUGGUCACCCUGGACCCCGUGGAUCAGGCCCUGCCUGGUGCCACCACCGCCACUUCUGUGCCAGGCCCCCAGUGUGAUGCAAGUUGCAUGAUGCUCUUUGCUGUAGUGCCUUUUAAUGGCAUAGCUUUGGCAGGUUUGGAGAUGUUCAGAAUAGGCAAAUCCUGUGGUGGAUUUGUGGUUGUCUAAGGCCCUGGUGGAAGGGAGCAUAGGUGAAUUGGAGGGGAUGAUUAAAAGGUGUGAGAUUUCAUUUUGGGGUGAUGAAAAUGUUCUAAAAUUGGUUGUAGUAAUGGUUAUACAACUCUGAAUAUACUAAAAGGCAUUGAAUUGUACACUUUCAAUAUGUGAGUUAUAUCUCAAUAAAGCUAUUUUACAAAAAA
rnacentral:lncRNA from 10 species